UGCACUUGUGCUCUAUGGACUUACUGCUACUGGUGAUUUUGCAGGAACAAGUGAAGCCAAUGGGUUUGAAAAGAGAACCAAGGCUGCCUGCGCCCAAGUGUGCUAGUCAUCCAGGGCCACCCUGCUGCCCUGCCCAGGUGCUGUCACGGUGGGAAGCGGCCACUCAUGCUGCUAUUUGUAGUCUCAACACUUUUCCCUCAUGGUGCCCGAAGGUAGCUAAACAUAUGCGUGGGGAUAAAAAUCGGGUGGACAAGGCCAGAUACAUGAAGACAUGCUCCACUCUCAUCUGUGAAAAGUUUCAAUAUAAAUGUGGGGACUGAGCAUUAAUGCAAAUAGAAAUUUUCAUGAAGUUUUCAGCAGUUGAACCCUAAAAUGAUUUAUAUAACUAAAAUGUUUCUAGAUAAUUUCAUUAUUUGGAUUUUGAAAAAAGUUUCUUGUAGGAUGACAAAGCAACAAAAACUUACAAACAGGUGAGCAAGGUCCUGGCACAGACAUGGGGCUGGGCGGGCGAAUGGGCUCCACAGGGAGUGUUCCCUCUCAGGUGGGCAGGGCAGGGUCCUGGUUGUUGAUUUUAAUGUCCUCGAUACCGUACAUGUUACAUACAUUCUUUGGUGUUGUACAAUAUUUCACAAGAAAAAGAUGAUGGAAGACAGUCGCCCACCCUCAGCCACAGAACCGUCAC
rnacentral:lncRNA from 10 species